rnacentral:lncRNA from 1 species
GUGGAGUGGAUUUGCAGUACUUGGUGUGAUUCUCUUCUGUUCAUCAUCUUCAGAAGCAUGGCUACUUUGGUGAUGAAUGAAGGCACUGCUGUCCUGGUUAAAGUUGAAGGUGUUUGUGGGUUUCUUGGAGAAAAUGGUGUCUAAGCUUCUCAAAUUGGCGCUGACAAUUGGCAAAUGCACUUGCAUAAGCAUCAAGACAAUCACAAGCAGCAGCAACAGUUUCUUGCAUUUCAUUUCUCCUAUGAAAUUAAAAUUCUCACAUUUCUUGUACCCUUUUGUGCUUCGGGAUGGUGACGGUUAGCUUGAAAGGAGUGGAUUUUGGAAAAACUUUCUUCUUUCUUUUUCUGGAACAAUUUGGCAAAACUUUCUCACACCAAUUUCCAUAUAUAGUACAUGCAAUAGGGCACUUUGCAUUAUUCAAGUAAAUGGAGAUGAUAGCAGCUUGGCAGGAAUUCAUUGGGAUUUGGGAAUCGGCUAUGACAGUUUUCUUUUAAU